rnacentral:rRNA from 1 species
UUAAGCAUAUCAAUAAGCGGAGGAAAAGAAACUAACAAGGAUUCCCCUAGUAACUGCGAGUGAAGCGGGAAAAGCUCAAAUUUAAAAUCUGGCAGCUUUUUGUUGUCCGAGUUGUAAUCUGGAGAAGUGCUUUCCGCUCUGGACCGUGUACAAGUCUCUUGGAAUAGAGCGUCAUAGAGGGUGAGAAUCCCGUCUUUGACACGGACUACCAGUGCUUUGUGAUGCGCUUUCAAAGAGUCGAGUUGUUUGGGAAUGCAGCUCAAAAUGGGUGGUAAAUUCCAUCUAAAGCUAAAUAUUGGCGAGAGACCGAUAGCGAACAAGUACCGUGAGGGAAAGAUGAAAAGCACUUUGGAAAGAGAGUUAAACAGUACGUGAAAUUGCUGAAAGGGAAACGCUUGAAGUCAGUCACGUCGUUCAGAACUCAGCCCGGCUUCGGCUUGGUGCAUUUUCUGAUCAACGGGCCAGCAUCAAUUUCGACUGUUGGAUAAAGGCCGGGGAAAUGUGGCUCCCUCGGGAGUGUUAUAAUCUCCGGUUGCAUACAAUGGUUGGGAUUGAGGAAUUCAGCACGCCUUCAUGGCUGGGGUUCGCCCACAUUCGUGCUUAGGAUGCUGGCGUAAUGGCUUUAAACGACCCGUCUUGAAACACGGACCAAGGAGUCUAACAUGCCUGCGAGUGUUUGGGUGGAAAACCCGAGCGCGCAAUGAAAGUGAAAGUUGGGAUCCCUGUCGUGGGGAGCACCGACGCCCGGACCAGACCUUCUGUGACGGAUCCGCGGUAGAGCAUGUAUGUUGGGACCCGAAAGAUGGUGAACUAUGCCUGAAUAGGGUGAAGCCAGAGGAAACUCUGGUGGAGGCUCGUAGCGAUUCUGACGUGCAAAUCGAUCGUCAAAUUUGGGUAUAGGGGCGAAAGACUAAUCGAACCCUUUUGCCC